rnacentral:rRNA from 1 species
UACGUAGGAGACGAGCGUUGUCCGGAGUUACUGGGCGUAAAGGGUGCGCAGGUGGCGGCGCGCGUGGGGGGUGAAAUCGCCCGGCUUAACUGGGCGGGGGCCUUCCAGACGGCGUGGCUUGAGCAGCGGAGGGGGACGUGGAAUUCCGGGUGGAGCGGUGAAAUGCGUAGAGAUCCGGAGGAACACCGACGGCGCAGGCAGCGUCCCUGGCCGCUUGCUGACACUGAGGCACGAAAGCUGGGGGAGCGAACAGG